GCCCUACGGGGUGCAGCAGGCGCGAAAACUUUACAAUGCUGGAAACAGCGAUAAGGGGACCUCGAGUGCCAGGUUACAAAUCUGGCUGUCGUGAUGCCUAAAAAGCAUUGCAUAGCAAGGGCCGGGCAAGACCGGUGCCAGCCGCCGCGGUAACACCGGCGGCUCGAGUGGUAACCGUUAUUAUUGGGUCUAAAGGGUCUGUAGCCGGCCGGAUAAGUCUCUUGGGAAAUCUGGCAGCUUAACUGUCAGGCUUUCAGGAGAUACUGUCUGGCUCGAGGCCGGGAGAGGUGAGAGGUACUUCAGGGGUAGGGGUGAAAUCUUGUAAUCCUUGAAGGACCACCAGUGGCGAAGGCGUCUCACCAGAACGGACCUGACGGCAAGGGACGAAAGCUAGGGGCACGAACCGGAUUAGAUACCCGGGUAGUCCUAGCCGUAAACGAUACUCGCUAGGUGUCGGCAACGGUGCGACCGUUGUCGGUGCCGUAGGGAAGCCGUGAAGCGAGCCACCUGGGGAAGUACGGCCGCAAGGCUGAAACUUAAAGGAAUUGGCGGGGGAGCACCACAACGGGUGGAGCUUGCGGUUUAAUUGGAUUCAACGCCGGAAAUCUUACCGGGACCGACAGCAAUAUGAAGGCCAGGCUGAAGACUUUGCCGGAUUAGCUGAGAGGUGGUGCAUGGCCG
rnacentral:rRNA from 1 species